GCGGGUGUAGUUUAAUGGUAAAAUUAGAGCUUCCCAAGCUCUCGUCGUGGGUUCGAUUCCCAUCACCCGCUUCA
rnacentral:tRNA from 1 species